rnacentral:lncRNA from 1 species
UGAGCAGCUUGCGAGCGAAGGUGUUGAUCGAGUCAUCAAAAAGAAAAAGUUUAGUGCAGUCGGUGUCAAUACUAGUCGUUAUUCAUUCAGACAACCUAAAAUAACAUCAGAGUUAUUAACUUAUGUCCACGUCUAGCGUGGAGAUCUGUCAGUGCUGAGGUGAGGUACCAUGACCCAGGCCAAGGAAAGCAACGGAACAACCGUACCAGGUGUGAUCAUGCUCGUUGAACAAGUUCAGGAGUGCGACCAAAGGAUGCAGAGCACAGCGAUAACGUGCCUGGAUCAGAGCGAUAUGAUCCAACUUGAGUACUUGACUUGACUGCCCCAGUCGUCUCGUCUGUCCUAUAUCAAAACAAGCCACAGCAGAAGAAACCACCACCAUAUUUAGAACAGCUACUUCGUUAUGAUCAAAGGGGUGAAUCAUCAAACUACAGAAACAAUAUCAGAUAUUACAGUUCAAUGUUCGCGUUCACUUCGAUGGGCGGCCAAAUAGAUCAUGAGAUAAAUAGACAAGGUGGUGUACCUUAUGUCCUUCGUUUGAAGCUUGGAUUGAGCCCUGUCCAAUGGUUCUUCACCAUCUUCCUAAUAGCCAUAUGCUUCAACGCCAAACCAUGCACAUGUUCCAGCAGCUCCGACCAGGAUCAGAGGGCAAGGUACACCUGGAACAC